CGCCCCUCCCCACCAGUGUUUCUCGAAGGGGUCCUGGAGUAGUUGGCUUGUCUUUACGUACUGGAGUGCUCUCUGUGCAGGCUGCUGGGCAACAGAGAAGAAAUACUCAGAGCCUGCCUUUGGGCAGAUCACAGUCUUAUGAGGGAAGACAGACAAAUUGUAACUAAUUAAAGUGUUGUGUGAAGGGGUUCAGGUUGGUUGGGUUCUAAAGGCUGCUAGUAAGUAUCAAAACCUAGAAGACAGUGGAAAAGGCUGCAGGCCAUUCUAGCAAGGGGGAACUCAAUGUGCAAAGAAAGGCACAGAGAGGUAGAGGAGUGCACAGUGUGGUGAGGGUGAGGAGGGGUGGGGGAGGGGGAAACCGCAGGGACUUGGGGUUUAGAAUAGCUACAGGAUGGUGGGCAGUGUCUGCACUGUCCUGGAGGGUCUUAGAAUUUUUCAGCCUGAGGGCUGUGAUAGAUAACAACUAAACAGCUUUAACAGGAGAGACUUACCAGAGUAGGUGAAGAGGGCAGGGGCAGCAUGGAGGCAGGUGAUAAUCACAGUAAUCCAGACAAGAGGAACUAAAGGCCACUACUCCACUUGUGGUACUGGGAAAUGAGGUGAGACAGUGGAUUCAACAGGCAAGUUUGAGGCAGAAAUGAUAGAGGGCAACUGGUUUGGGGAAAGAGAAGGAGGAAGUUUAAAAAUGACUGGGGAACUGAACUGCAAGGGUUUAUUUAGCAAGCAAAUGGAAAUGAGCUGGAAGACUGGAGUUAAUCUGUCCUGUGCUCCCAUUCAGCCCCCACCCCACAAGGGCUGAGAGACUAGGAGACUUCUACUCCAGCUUUUCUUCUGGAAUUUUCCCAAAUGAAAGGCCAAUGUGCACUCCUAGGCCUACUCCUCUGUCCUGUACUGGCAGCCUCAGCCCUCUACCAAUCUCCAGAGGCACACAUCUCCCCAGAAGACCCUUACCUUGUCUUCACAACAUGGACUAGUUUUCACUAGCGUAUGUCAUCUGCUACUCUUCUGGACCUUUUGCAGGGAGCUGAUGCCCUGAAUCCCAUGACUCUGUUAACUGGAUUGGUGGUCUCAGGUCCAGGCCAAGAUGCUAGCCCAUUACCUGCUUUACUGCGUGGUGCUUAUCCAAAACUCCUUUAGGUCCCACCACUUGUGAGGUGGUGAGGAGGGAGGAGGCAGCGAAGGGCCAGGGGUACAAAAUCUACCAUUAUACAGGAUAGUCAUUUCUACAGUUUUCCACACUUUAGCAGAAUUACCAGACCCCAAAGGCUGCUAUAAGAUAAUUUAUUACACACUAGCCAAAAAUGUCCUGUAACAAUGGCACAUACAAUAAUUAACAACAGCAAAGAU